rnacentral:lncRNA from 1 species
GCCAAACUGUAAGUAUCUGUUUAGGUCAGUGUUCAUGCUUAGGCUUGCGUGUCCUUAUGAGUUGUGUGGAUCUCUGUGUCUUUCCUAUCUGCAGAUGUGGAUGUGCUCGUGGCAGAGGUGUGGAGCAGGUCAGGAUGGAUGAGGUUUCCAGGGCUGAGUUCUGCUCUUCAUGUCGACACCACGGACACGAUUCUCACUCUGGACAGCCAUCCUUCUUCAAAGAGCCCUACUUUGCCAUCAUGGCGGUCACUCUGAUUGGCACCGAUGACGGCAGUUCUCGACUGUUCUUUUGAAUGGAAACCAGAAGUGCAACCUUUAAUUUGAAAUACAGAAGUCACCUGCGGGAAAAUGGUGGAUACAGG